GGAUUUUCAAAAUCCCUUGUUCAUUUCCCAUUCUCAGCCCAUAAAAAAAACGAAAGUGCCAUGCCCAUAAAACUCUUAAUUUGCCAAAAAAAAAUUGUAGUUUUUUUUUCUCCCAUUCCUGGCCUAUUUUUUUUUUUUUAAAUAAUAAAAUCUAAUCUCCUCCUCUAUUAUUCUGUUUUGGGGAUCUAAUCGAACCCUAAAUUAGAUGGACGCAAGCUCUGAAGAUCGUCCCUAACACCUCCAUCACCACUUCCCCUCCGGGUCUGUCCCUAAGCAGUCAUCUCGAGGGAAAUUGAAGAGGUUGAUCAUAAGCAAGAGCUAAGCAUGGACGAAAGUAAUAAUCCAUGGAUUUGAACGUUACACGCAAUAGCUCUUACUCAAGAAAGAAAGGGAGCGUGACAUAACCUGAAGGUCUCAUUCUCAUUCUCUGUUAGUCGCAAUCCCAAUAGAUCUCAAUCGUCAGAUUGUUGAUCCAAAUCAAACUGGUGAGGUCAAAAGUGACUCAUAAGGAAGAUUGCAGUUAAUCUUCAGUCGAAGGUAAUAUUUGAUACUAAGUGAUGUUUGUCUGAGUUUAAUCGAUAUUAUCUGAUUUGUACUUGAAGCUGUUGUAAUGAUACUCCAUCUCGUGUUAUGUUUGUAGAAACUAGAUUCAAACUCUUGUUCGGUCGUACCUUGAUUUUAUUUGUGUAAGAUAUUAUUUCUAGUUUUUUUGUUUGUCACUUUGUUGUUGAUGUGGUUUAUGUGAAUAUCUGAUCAUUAAAGUUUUUAUCACAAUUGUACGUAUAAUUGGUGUUGGAGCUUGGGUAGUAUUGGUGUAAAAUGGACAAGGCAUGGGUUUGGCUUCCAAGGAAUAACCUUGAAUAUGAGAUGGAAGCAAGAAAAUUUGUAUUUGGAGCUGCAAGUAGGUUGGGUAAUCGUACAAUGAUGUUUUUUCCCUGCGUCAAUUGUAGAAUUGUUUGCCAUCAGCUGAUACAGACCGUAUUAGAUCAUCUAGUGAUCAGGGGUAUAGAUGAGAAAUACAAGAGGAAUCCAUUUUGGAGUAAGCAUGGGGAAAGGGGGGACAAAAAACGGCUGCUGAUGUUCCAAUUUCAGAGGAAGAGGCUUAUGACUUGAUGAGAACAGAUUUUUUGAGUGAGAAUUAAAUUAUGAAAAGGCAAAUGAGGAGUGUCAAAUUCCAGAAGAUUCUGAGUUUAGGGAGAAGUUAGAAGAUGCCAAAACUCCACUAUACUCAUCAUGUCACAAGUACAACAAGGUUUCUGCGAUAACAAUGCUAUAUACCACAUCAAAGUGAAGAGUGACUAGUGUUAAAGACAUGUUACCAGAAGAUAAUGUGCUUCCAAAGUCCACUGCCGAAAUGAAAAAUUCUUGAAGAUCUUUGGGUUUAGUUACGAUGUCAUUCACGCAUGCAAGAACGAUUGCAUACUUUAUUGAAAGCAGUAUGAUCAGAUAGAAAGUUGCCCAAGAUGUAGUGCUUCAAGAUGGAAAAUGGAUAAACACUAUGGUAAGGAAAUGAAGGGGAUUCCAGGGAAAGUGGUUAGGUAUUUUCCAAUCAAGGAUAGAUUGAAGAGUAUAUUUAGAUCAAAACAAAUGGCUGAGGAUUUGAGUUGGCAUUUCAGCAAUAGUAGUGAAGAUGAUUUAAUGCGACAUCUUGUGGACUCCAUGACCUUGGAACAAGUGAAUAUUAAUUGGCCAGAAUUUUCUGCUUACCCUAAAAACCUCCGACUUGGUCUUUCUACAGAUGGAGUGAACCCUUUCUCUUUGCAAACACAAAUUACAGUACAUGGCUAGUUUUGUUAGUUAACUACAACAUGACUGCUACCAUCUGUGUGAAGGCCAAGAACAUCAUGUUGACUAUGUUGAUCCCUGGUCCAACUGCACCAAGUAACAACAUUGAUGUAUAUCUAUUACUGUUGAUAGAGGAUUUAAGUGAUUUAUGGACCAAAGGUAUUGAAGUUUUUGACUCUUUUAUCAAAGAAAAGUUUACACUUAGAGCUUUGUUAUUGUAGAGUAUCAAUGACUAUCCAGCCUUAUGAACAUUGGUUGGGUGUAAGGUUAAGGGGAAAUAAACUUGUAUCGUUCGUGGAAAGGACACACAAGGUAGGUGGUUGAAGCAUAUUAGCAAGUAUGUGUAUUUGGGCAAUAGGAAACGAUUAAGGCAUGGACAUCCGUACAAGCAUAAAGGAUGGUUUGAUAACAUUGUCGGGAACAUGGCAGCAAAUAAAAUUCAAACUGGUGAGAUUGCUGAGAUAAGUAAAAUGAUGGAGAUGAUGAAGAAUCUGACAAACCAAAUAAUGGAGUUGAUGGAGAAUCUGAGAACCAAAUGAUGGAGUUGAAGGAGAUUCUAAGAAAGAGAAGAAUGAAGUUGAUGUACCACUUGGUCCAGAAGACGCAAAAGGUGAACAAUCUUACAAGCCUACUGAAGGAGGAGGUUCACACCCGAGAACUGAAGAAGUACAACUCGAGUAGUCGACCUCUACCACCAAAAGAAAAAGGGGACACACGAAGAUGCGCAAGGUCGCUAAAGAACCUCUAGCCAAGGUUGAGGUAGAAUUUACAUCUCUGGGUGAACAAGCAAGAUCUUGAUCAAUGACACUUUCAGCGUUUCUUGGUCCUCUUGUGAGGGAACAUGUUUCAGUAACACUCCCUGAUUGGAGAAAACUUGAUGAGCAGAGAAAAGAUGCAAUGUGGGAAGAAAUUCAUGUAUAAGAUUUUAUUUACUACUCGACAUUAAAAAUUAUGAAUGUCAUAUAACAUAUUGUCUCUUAUAGGGGAGGUUUAAUUUGCAAGAAUAGUGGCAAAAAGAUGUUGGUUUCAAGAAGAUGGGUUGUUUGUGGAGAGCACGAAGUCACGCGCAACUUUUAAUCUAUUACUGAGUGGAACAAUUGGGUGAAGAGCAAGUGGAGCUUAAGGUGAGAAGUGAGAGAUAUAAGAACUUGAGAAGAGCUCAGAUUCCACACACAACUAGCCGCAGAGAGAUAUUUCGCCUGGCACCAGAUUUGAAAAAAAAGAGUUCAAACCGUAGUACGGUGACUGGAAGUAAGAUAUGGCUAGCAGGACACACUCACAAAGAUGGAAGACCAGUGAAGCCGAAAUUUGCUAAGACUAUUGAACAAAUACAGUCAAUCGAUAGUCAAAUGGACUCCACAGCCAAUGAUAACAUAAUAGAAGAUGUUUUUAGUCAAAUGUUAGGGAAAGACAGACCUGGCAGAGUUAGAGAUUUGAGUAGAGGGAUUACUGCUACCAAAUUAGCAUUCCUCCAGUCUAGAGACACACAUGUGCAAAAGCUGGAAGCGUCACAAGCCGAUUUGAUUAGUCAGAUUAAAGAACUGAAAAAUGUUAUCAAAAUUUUAUAGCUGGAAAGUAAACCUGUUCUAAUAUGGGAGCUCAAACUGAAGCAAGUGAUGUUAGUCAAGGAGUUAGAUGUUAGCUGCUUGAAUGGUUUUUAGGAGAAGAUGUCGUUGUCAGGGAAGGUCUGUUUCAAUGACCCAAUAAGUCCAAAUACUUUUGAUUCCAAGGCCAACAGAAGAAACACUUUUGAUGGUUGAUGCACUCGAGGUACAAAUCGCAUGGCCAAUGGAUAAGAUAGAAGUCAUCAAUCAGAAUGCAGGCUAGUCUUCAGUGAAAAGAUCACCUCGGGUAAGUUUUGAUGUUGAUAUGAUGUGUAUCAAUUUUGUUUUGAUGUUGUGGUGAUGAAUUUCUGAUUACUAUGUCUAUUGCAUAUUGAUGAUGUGGCAAUGUACAAGUACUAACUUUGAUACCAUUAAUUGAGUCAAGAAGUGCACCCUUUUGAAUUGCAAAAACUCUGGUGAAAUUGUUGUA